rnacentral:rRNA from 1 species
GAGUUUGAUCCUGGCUCAGGAUGAACGCUGGCGGCGUGCCUAAUACAUGCAAGUCGAGCGAACGGACGAGAAGCUUGCUUCUCUGAUGUUAGCGGCGGACGGGUGAGUAACACGUGGAUAACCUACCUAUAAGACUGGGAUAACUUCGGGAAACCGGAGCUAAUACCGGAUAAUAUUUUGAACCGCAUGGUUCAAAAGUAAAAGACGGUCUUGCUGUCACUUAUAGAUGGAUCCGCGCUGCAUUAGCUAGCUGGUAAGGUAACGGCUUACCAAGGCAACGAUGCAUAGCCGACCUGAGAGGGUGAUCGGCCACACUGGAACUGAGACACGGUCCAGACUCCUACGGGAGGCAGCAGUAGGGAAUCUUCCGCAAUGGGCGAAAGCCUGACGGAGCAACGCCGCAUGAGUGAUGAAGGUCUUCGGAUCGUAAAACUCUGUUAUUAGGGAGAACAUAUGUGUAAGUAACUGUGCACAUCUUGACGGUACCUAAUCGGAAAGCCACGGCUAACUACGU